rnacentral:rRNA from 1 species
CCUUCUUAUAUCUUAUAAUAAUACACCAAAAUAAAGUAAUACAAAAACAACUAUACUCCUUUAUAAUAUAAAGUACCUUAUGGGAAAUUUAAACUGAUAUCAGUAGUGAGUAGUUCACGUACCUUGUGCAUAAUGGUUUUACAAGAUGAAAGCUAAAGCCUAUGCCCGAAUCCAACGAGAGAUGUAUAUAUAGUGUUAAGAACCAAUCAAUGGGUGUUUCAUCAUCUUUGCUACAUAUGUAUACAGAGGCUACAUACCAACCGCGCUUGGAUAUUUCUGGUUUUAGAUAAACUUUAUUUAUUAAGGCGCACAAUUAAUAUGUGACGUAAUAAAGUAGAGGAUAAGCCCCACUUUAUCAAACUAUAAUUCAUAGAAAAUCAAAAUAAAAUAUUAGGCCUAAUACCAGCCAAUAAAAUCACUUUAUAUCUUAUAACAAAGAAAAUAAUUAUAUAAUAAUAUAUGUUAGGAUAAAUCUAAUAAAAGGAAAAUCAUCAACCUAAAUAUAAAAUGUAAAAAUAAGUAUUUCUUCACCAUGUAGCUAAGCCAAGAUAAUAUACAAAAUAAAAUAUCCAAUACUAAAUAAGAAACUAGGCAAGAUCAAUUU